rnacentral:tRNA from 1 species
GCGCCCAUGGCUCAGCUGGAUAGAGCGUCAGACUACGAAUCUGAAGGCCGGAGGUUCGAAUCCUCCUGGGCGCACCA